rnacentral:rRNA from 1 species
CGAGCACGCGCGUGUGGCAUAUCAAUAAGCGGAGGAAAAGAAACUAACAAGGAUUCCCCUUAGUAACGGCGAGUGAAGCGGGAAGAGCUCAAAUUUGAAAUCUUCAAGGGUUCUACCUUGACGAAUUGUAGUUUAUAAGAAGUGUUUUCUGUUAGAUGGAGUGGCUAAAAGUUCUUUGGAAUAGGACAUCAUAGAGGGUGAGAAUCCCGUAUUUGGAUCCGUUACUUUCUCGCUUUGUGAUACACUUUCAAAGAGUCGGAUUGUUUGGGAAUGCAGUCCAAAAUGGGUGGUAAAUUUCAUCUAAAGCUAAAUAUUGGCGAGAGACCGAUAGCGAACAAGUACCGUGAGGGAAAGAUGAAAAGAACUUUGAAAAGAGAGUUAAACAGUACGUGAAAUUGUCAAAAGGGAAGCGUUUGACACCAGUGUUGUUUAGUUGAAAAUCAAUUAAAUAUUUUUCGAUUUUAAGUAGUAUUGACCUUAUCAGCUUGCUGCUUUUUUCUCGGAAAUUAUUUAACGCACUUUUCAGUUAACAAGUCAACAUCAAUUUCUUUUGUUGUAAAAAGGUAAGAGGAAGGUGGCUUGCGCUUCGGCUCAAGUGUUUAUAGCCUUUUACCCCUGCAAUCGGAGAGAUAGAGGUCUGCAGCGUAGAUCCUUCGGGGUUAGAUACAUUUGUGCUAAGCUAUAGCCUUGUAUAGACAACUUGUUGACUAUGCUCAGUCAUGUAGCUUACUCGCUUAUGCUAUUUUACCUACGCUUAGGAUGUUGAUGUGAUACUGCGAGCA